rnacentral:rRNA from 2 species
CUAGCGCAGCUAUACUGCAGUCGAGCGGACUUAAAAAGCUUGCUUUUUAAGUUAGCGGCGGACGGGUGAGUAACACGUGGGCAACCUGCCUGUAAGACUGGGAUAACUUCGGGAAACCGGAGCUAAUACCGGAUAAUCCUUUUCUACUCAUGUAGAAAAGCUGAAAGACGGUUUACGCUGUCACUUACAGAUGGGCCCGCGGCGCAUUAGCUAGUUGGUGAGGUAACGGCUCACCAAGGCGACGAUGCGUAGCCGACCUGAGAGGGUGAUCGGCCACACUGGGACUGAGACACGGCCCAGACUCCUACGGGAGGCAGCAGUAGGGAAUCUUCCGCAAUGGACGAAAGUCUGACGGAGCAACGCCGCGUGAGUGAUGAAGGUUUUCGGAUCGUAAAACUCUGUUGUUAGGGAAGAACAAGUACGAGAGUAACUGCUCGUACCUUGACGGUACCUAACCAGAAAGCCACGGCUAACUACGUGCCAGCAGCCGCGGUAAUACGUAGGUGGCAAGCGUUGUCCGGAAUUAUUGGGCGUAAAGCGCGCGCAGGCGGUCCUUUAAGUCUGAUGUGAAAGCCCACGGCUCAACCGUGGAGGGUCAUUGGAAACUGGGGGACUUGAGUGCAAAAGACAAA